rnacentral:rRNA from 1 species
GUAUGGAGCAAGCGUUAUCCGGAUUUACUGGGUGUAAAGGGAGCGUAGNCGGAUAGGCAAGUCNGANGUGAAAACCCAUGGGCUCAACCCCGGGACUGCAUUNGAAACUGUUUAUCUAGAGUGAAGUAGAGGUAAGNGGAAUUCCNAGUGUAGCGGUGAAAUGCGUAGAUAUNAGGAGGAACACCAGUGGCGAAGGCGGCUUACUGGNCNNUAACUGACGNUGAGGCUCGAAAGCAUGGGGAGCAAACAGGAUUAGAUACCCUGGUAGUCCANGUCGUAAACGAUGAUUACUAGGUGUNGGGUGUCUGACCCCNUCCGUGCCGCAGCUAACNCAAUAAGUANUCCACCUGGGGAGU